rnacentral:lncRNA from 1 species
GGGUUUAGGAGAGAAUAUGCUAAUAAGCGUUCGAAUCUGUUAGGAAAUAGAUGACUUGAAACCGAACUAAACCAAACCGACAACAAAACCAAAUAGUUUUCAUCUCCAGUGUGUCUUCGAGCUCAUACAUCUCAAAGUAUCAAACUAUGAUUGCAAAAACCUUUCAAGUAAGUUACUUCCCAACAACCCAACCCUUGAAGCUGCAGUCGAGUUAACAAUUUUUAUGCAACUGGAUAUUAUGCAAAAAUCAAGUUAUGCUUGUGUUAGGUUUGGUUUUGUUUUCUGUUGCAAUUGAGCUUAUUCUGCAUGACAUCUGUUUGUUCCGGUGGUGAGGGAUAAAUGGAUAGUGUUAUUGGUGUUGCAGUAGUUGUGUUGUGUAGUUUUGUAGGAAGCUGCUUGCUAGUUGCUAUUGAGUUUUGAAAAAUUAGGAAACCCUCAUUUUUUAUGAUUACAGGAUCCUUCACUAAAUUUGGAUUUGGUUAAUUGAUUAUUUGCUGCUUGCUAGUUGCUACUGAGUGUUAUUAACAUAUUAUUUCACAACCAUUUAUCAAAUCUGUUUUUGUCAGGUUAUGUCACAACCAUUUAUCAAACCUAUGUUUCCCUUAUAGCAAUGAAGAUGAAUAUAAAGAUUGAGCCCCAGUAGGGGCCUUUUAACCCCCUUCCCACGAAAUGUAGCAGUAGAUAUCUCCCUAAUAUUAGUGAGAUUAUAUUUAUGAGCUAGCCUCGGUAGAUUUAUGCGCUAGUUGUACUAUAAGUGUAUAUAUCUAGAUUCUCAAUGGAUUGUAAUAUACUUUUUGUUUGUAAACAUUUCAAAGAUGGCUUUCCUUUUCACUUAAAAGAUUAUACAUAUAUGUAUAUAUAUGAGUGUGUGUGUGCGCGCGCGCGUGUGUAGCAAUACAUGGAUGAAUUUUCCAUAACAUUAUCAUUCCUAAAGUAUUAAGAACUGAGCGCAAAUGUGAUGAAGAAAAAUGUUGCAUAUUUAUGUUGUUCGUGUUCAGUUAGUAUUAAAUCAUUCUAAAAUUGUUAAUAUUGAUUUAAGUUUAAAUCAUAUGUGGGUGCACUUUUUGGAAUCUGGUUCAAGUUAAUUCCCUUCUGGUAGAGUUCAAAGUAUUGAUCUCUUAUAGAGAUGUGUUCUAGCAGCUUCUAGCAAGUUAAAUGUUCAUCGCUUAAUGGUCCAAGAUUAUUGUGUUGUGAAGUCUAAUGAGCUGCCAAGUAGCAUGUUGAGCAAUUAGUAAGAGGGGAAUGUUAAAAUGAGUACUAAUGAUUAAUUAAGUAGCCAAAAAGAGGGUGACUACUACUUGAUCAUGGACUAGAAUAUAUACCUUUUCGAAUAACAUGGGAAGUGUUUAUUACUAUUCUAAGUUAAAUGUUAUUGCAGAAAUCAGUCUACUCAUUGAAACAGAAUUAAGAAACCAGCCCUCCCUUUUGAGCUGCUUUCUUAAAGAAUGUCUGAAUUUCUUAGGUUUUUCCUAAAAGUUUCUCCAACAAUGGAAUCAGCCUUAACAAAUACAGCAGGAUAGCCAAUUGGAGCUUCCACCCAAGCUUCAGAACCUUGCCCUGUAAAUAUCUUUUCCGUCCAAAUAUGUUGCCAAGUGCUGGUUUCUCCAACUGGAAAAUAAACUCUGACUUUCUUCUUUCCUUUGUCUAGGAUUGGCACAACUAAGAUCUCAGUACCCACCAAAAACUGCUGGUAACUCAAUCUCUGCACCUUGUCAUCAUCUGGGUAGUGGAGAAAUAGGUGACGGCAUACAGGAAGACCUUUCUGAGAAGCCUCCUGUUAGAAGGCGAGAAAGAGGUUUGUUAGAAUUUACACUGAAAAUGCUGAGUUGAAUUGAAUGGAUCACCUGUGUGCGUAUAUCACCUUUACAAGUUUGAUUCUGUAGAAUUUCCAUGCUCUAUAUACUUUAGCAAAUCGUGCAAAAUGGGAUAACGUUUGUUGGUUUGAGUAGAACUGGCUGUUGAAGGAUGGUUUGUUUCCCUGCAUGUAAAUGGGUUAGCUGACUUGGUUAUUUAGAAAGAGAGUAAUGACUUAUCUACUUAUUUCAUUUUCACUCACAAAAGAUGCUAAUAAUGAUAAUGCCAUUGUUAAUGCAGGUAUAUGAAUUUCUGGAAAGAAAUUUUUAACUUACUUCAUGGGUCCGGAAAACGGUGGUGAAAGCAUUUAGCUCCAUCCAUCGCAACAGCAACUCUUCACUUCUUCUGUAUUUGAUUAGAGGUAAGUUUACUGCACAGUAACCUCCAAUAUCACUGUGGUUAAAAGCAUAACCAGAAAGUCCACUGCUCAGUAAGCCAACAACAGCACUCUUUAUCCCAUCAUUAGCUUGCCAACUUACCAUUUGGUCUCCUUCCCAAAACAGCAUCCCCCAUUUGGGACUAUCUCUAAAACCUGCCCUCAUGAAAAAAACCAAAUCCUCUUCUGUGUCUUCCCUCUUUGUACCUGUACAUUUAUCUUUCCAUUCUUCCACAAACUCUCGGUUAAUUUGGGCCCAUAGUUCUGGGUAUCUGUUAUGGGCUGAAAUAGGAUCUUCACCUAAUAGAGUAACAUUAAACUAGAUAAAUAAUCAUGCGAAUAAAAAGUAUUAUCACAAAAUAUUAAACAGUUUUUAAAUCAUGUAGAACCAGCAGGUUCCUACUUUUCAUUCAGUUAGCACUUGCUUAGUAGGGCAAUCAACUGGGAUCUCUGAUGCCUACAAAAUCUCUUUUUUUAAUCCUCCACUUCUUUUUGCUUGUUGAGAUGAUUAUGGGCUGCGUAAGUGUUGGUGAGUUUGUUCAGCAAGUAAGUAGUUUGCCAAAAAGGCAACAGUUUGCAUGCUUGCCAAAAAGGGUAAUUAAUAGGCAACAGUUAAUUAGAGAAACUCAUUUCAUGACUAGGAUCCAUCUUUCCUACAAUAUCACUAGUAAGCAUUGUUAACAGUUGCAAAAGGUAUAAGCUUAGAGGAAAGGUAUAGCUUGAGAGGUAGAGUUCUUUCAUCAUUCAUCAUUUUUUAUAAGUUGAGCUUUAGACUAGUGAUGGUUUAAACUAAUUGUUUAACAUAAAGCACGUCAGAAAUGCUAAUCAAAUGACCAUCAAACUUUUAGUCAUUUGUUUCACUUAGUUUCAAACAGCCUCACAUGGGAGUGAAGGUCAAUCAAGAAAGAAAUUAGAAUUCAAACCUGAAUAAAGGAUGGCAUCCACAGGCAAGCCUUCACCAAAAUCGGCCAUCCAUCCUCUAACUCCAUCUUCCACCAUUUCUUGUAAAACCUGCUUGAACCAACUUGCUGUAUCUGGGUGUGUCAAAUCCAACAUUCCCACAUCAAAAGCUGUGUUUGGAACUAGGUAUUGUUCACCAUUCUUAUCUUUUACCAGUAUGUCCAACUUCUUGGCCUCCUCAAAAAGAUUUCUCCUUCUAUUUGGCUUCUCAUGAGACUGUGAAAGCAGGUAGAAUAUUCAGAAGAAAAUGUGGCAGAUUUUCAGUAUAUUGCCAAAUAUCACAACAUAAGGCUGUACAAAUGUCAUAGCCUUUAUUAUAUGUUAAAUUGGAGAACAUACGUACUGGUGCCAAACAAGGAUUGCAGUAUGUCAUCACUUUAACAUGAUGAGCGUUGAGAUCUUUAAGAAGUUGUUUCCAUCCCUUAUAUCUUGUUGUAUCCACUUCCCAAUUCCACCACAGUUGUGAUCCAAUCAAUGUCUCCCGUUGACCCACCCAAUCCUAAUCAAAAGUUGUUCGACAAUCAAAUAUGAUGCAUUCUAUGGUAUGAAAUAUGAAUGUGAGUUGUGUUUAUUCUAUCAGAUAUUGCUCAAGGGACUGGAUUUGGAAUUUGAAGUUGUUCAGUUGUGGUCUAAAUUAGAAAUUAUAAAAUAUCAAUAUUUUGAAAAGUGUCUAUCAGACUGCUAAAAGUUUGGUACCGAUGCACCAGUUGAAAUCUUGUGGAAUAUGGUGCCACCUUGAAAUUGACAUUUUGUAAGAAUAUAUUGGUAAGUUUGUGGAGUUGAACCUGCAACCAAAAUGCUGAAACUGGAACUUGAUAACUCCUAAGUGCAUCCCAGACACGACGUACAGCAUCUGUACCACCCUGCAUUCCAGCUACAGCUCCAGAUACGAUCCAAUCGGGAAGCUCAGGAGGCCUCCCAAUUGUUUCUGUGAAGUGUUCAAUGAGCUCACAAG